rnacentral:rRNA from 1 species
UACGGAGGGGGCGAGCGUUAUUCGGAAUUAUUGGGCGUAAAGGGCGCGUAGGCGGCUUGACAAGUCAAAGGUGAAAUCCCUCGGCUCAACUGAGGAACUGCCUUUGAAACUGUCUGGCUUGAGGCCGGGAGGGGGUAGCGGAAUUCCCAGUGUAGCGGUGAAAUGCGUAGAUAUUGGGAGGAACACCAGUGGCGAAGGCGGCUACCUGGACCGGUUCUGACGCUGAGGCGCGAAAGCGUGGGGAGCAAACAGG